ensembl:snRNA U6 U6 spliceosomal RNA
UUGUUUCAGCAGCGUGCAUACUAAAAUUGGAACAAUACAGAGAAGACUAGCAUGGCCCCUGCACAAAGAUGACAUGCAAAUUCAUGAAGCAUUCCGCAUAUUU